rnacentral:rRNA from 1 species
UAGGGAAUAUUGCUUAAUGGGCGAAAGCCUGAAGCAACAACGCCGCGUGUGUGAAGAAGGCCUUCGGGUUGUAAAACACUUUUUGAGGGAAUGAGGAAGGACAGUACCCUCAGAAUAAGCCUCGGCUAACUACGUGCCAGCAGCCGCGGUAAAACGUAGGAGGCGAGCGUUAUCCGGAUUUACUGGGCGUAAAGCGCGUGCAGGCGGCACGGCAAGUUGGAUGUGAAAGCUCCCGGCUUAACUGGGAGAGGUCGUUCAAAACUGCCGAGCUAGAGUGCGGGAGAGGGAGGUGGAAUUCCGGGUGUAGUGGUGAAAUGCGUAGAUAUCCGGAGGAACACCAGUGGCGAAAGCGGCCUCCUGGUCCGCAACUGACGCUCAGACGCGAAGGCUAGGGUAGCAAACGG